rnacentral:rRNA from 1 species
AAGGAUUCCCCUAGUAACUGCGAGUGAAGCGGGAAAAGCUCAAAUUUAAAAUCUGGCGGUCUCUGGCCGUCCGAGUUGUAAUCUAGAGAAGUGUUACCCGCGCUGGACCGUGUACAAGUCCCCUGGAAUGGGGCGUCAUAGAGGGUGAGAAUCCCGUCUCUGACACGGACUACCAGGGCUUUGUGGUAUGCUCUCAAAGAGUCGAGUUGUUUGGGAAUGCAGCUCAAAAUGGGUGGUAAAUUCCAUCUAAAGCUAAAUAUUGGCGAGAGACCGAUAGCGAACAAGUACCGUGAGGGAAAGAUGAAAAGAACUUUGGAAAGAGAGUUAAACAGUACGUGAAAUUGCUGAAAGGGAAACGCUUGAAGUCAGUCGCGUUGGCCGGGAAUCAGCCUCGCUUUUGUGUGGUGUACUUUCUGGUUGACGGGUCAGCAUCAAUUUUGACUGCUGGAAAAAGGCUUGGGGAAUGUGGCAGCUCCGGCUGUGUUAUAGCCCCUUGUCACAUACAGCGGUUGGGAUUGAGGAACUCAGCACGCCGCAAGGCCGGGUUUCGACCACGUUCGUGCUUAGGAUGCUGGCAUAAUGGCUUUAAGCGACCCGUCUUGAAACACGGACCAAGGAGUCUAACAUGCCUGCGAGUGUUUGGGUGGAAAACCCGAGCGCGUAAUGAAAGUGAAAGUUGAGAUCCCUGUCGUGGGGAGCAUCGACGCCCGGACCAGAACUUUUGGGACGGAUCCGCGGUAGAGCAUGUAUGUUGGGACCCGAAAGAUGGUGAACUAUGCCUGAAUAGGGUGAAGCCAGAGGAAACUCUGGUGGAGGCUCGUAGCGAUUCUGACGUGCAAAUCGAUCGUCAAAUUUGGGUAUAGG